rnacentral:rRNA from 1 species
CAGCAGCCGCGGGAAUACGUAGGGUGCAAGCGUUAAUCGGAAUUACUGGGCGUAAAGCGUGCGCAGGCGGUUUGUUAAGACAGAUGUGAAAUCCCCGGGCUCAACCUGGGAACUGCAUUUGUGACUGGCAGGCUAGAGUAUGGCAGAGGGGGGUGGAAUUCCGCGUGUAGCAGUGAAAUGCGUAGAUAUGCGGAGGAACACCGAUGGCGAAGGCAGCCCCCUGGGCCAAUACUGACGCUCAUGCACGAAAGCGUGGGGAGCAAACAGGAUUAGAUACCCGUGUAGUCCCUGUCUCUUAUAC